GAUGAACGCUGGCGGCGUGCCUAAUACAUGCAAGUCGAGCGAACAGACGAGGAGCUUGCUCCUCUGACGUUAGCGGCGGACGGGUGAGUAACACGUGGAUAACCUACCUAUAAGACUGGGAUAACUUCGGGAAACCGGAGCUAAUACCGGAUAAUAUAUUGAACCGCAUGGUUCAAUAGUGAAAGACGGUUUUGCUGUCACUUAUAGAUGGAUCCGCGCCGCAUUAGCUAGUUGGUAAGGUAACGGCUUACCAAGGCAACGAUGCGUAGCCGACCUGAGAGGGGGAUCGGCCACACUGGAACUGAGCCACGGUCCAGACUCCUACGGGAGGCAGCAGUAGGGAAUCUUCGGCAAUGGGCGAAAGCCUGACGGAGCAACGCCGCGUGAGUGAUGAAGGUCUUCGGAUCGUAAAACUCUGUUAUUAGGGAAGAACAAAUGUGUAAGUAACUAUGCACGUCUUGACGGUACCUAAUCAGAAAGCCACGGCUAACUACGUG
rnacentral:rRNA from 1 species